rnacentral:rRNA from 1 species
GACGAACGCUGGCGGCGUGCUUAACACAUGCAAGUCGAACGGAAAGGCCCUGCUUUUGUGGGGUGCUCGAGUGGCGAACGGGUGAGUAACACGUGAGUAACCUGCCCUUAACUUUGGGAUAACUUCAGGAAACUGGGGCUAAUACCGGAUAGGAGCUCCUGCUGCAUGGUGGGGGUUGGAAAGUUUCGGCGGUUGGGGAUGGACUCGCGGCUUAUCAGCUUGUUGGUGGGGUAGUGGCUUACCAAGGCUUUGACGGGUGGCCGGCCUGAGAGGGUGACCGGCCACAUUGGGACUGAGAUACGGCCCAGACUCCUACGGGAGGCGGCAGUGGGGAAUAUUGCACAAUGGGCGGAAGCCUGAUGCAGCAACGCCGCGUGCGGGAUGACGGCCUUCGGGUUGUAAACCGCUUUCGCCUGUGACGAAGCGUGAGUGACGGUAAUGGGUAAAGAAGCACCGGCUAACUACGUG